AGAAAAAUCGCAUUAAUAUUGUUAAGUUUCUUUAAACAAGUUACGGUGUACAGUAUUUGUGUUCUUGACUAUGAUUUAACGUUCUUUUUUUAUAAAAACGACGAAUAUUGAUUUAUUUUGACAAUUGUUAAAUUACUUAACUACGUUGACUGCAGGUUGUUCAUAAUGGUCAAUUGUUUUGUACCAAAUUGUAACCAUUACAGCGAAACAAAAAUAUGUAAAUUUUUUAGAUUUCCUGUGAAUAAAUUGUUGAAAUUAAAAUGGACACAAAAUAUAAGGAGGUCUGACAGAUGUCCAAGUGUGAACUCCCGAGUUUGCAGCUGUCAUUUUAUUGAUGGACUUAAAGAAAAUAAUCCAACAAUAUUCAG